UACGUAGGGUGCGAGCGUUAAUCGGAAUUACUGGGCGUAAAGCGUGCGCAGGCGGCGCGUUAAGACAGGUGUGAAAGCCCCCGAGCUUAACUUGGGAAUUGCGCUUGUGACUGGCGUGCUGGAGUGUGGCAGAGGGAGGUGGAAUUCCACGUGUAGCAGUGAAAUGCGUAGAGAUGAUGGAGGAACACCGAUGGCGAAGGCAGCCUCCUGGGCCAGCACUGACGCUCAUGCACGAAAGCGUGGGGAGCAA
rnacentral:rRNA from 1 species